GGCGGGGUAGCCAAGGGGUUAAGGCAGGGGUUUCAUAAGCCCCCAUGCGGUGGUUCGAAUCCACCCCCCGCUA
rnacentral:tRNA from 1 species